GGGUUGUGAGGUUAAGCGACUAAGCGUACACGGUGGAUGCCCUGGCAGUCAGAGGCGAUGAAGGACGUGCUAAUCUGCGAUAAGCGUCGGUAAGGUGAUAUGAACCGUUAUAACCGGCGAUUUCCGAAUGGGGAAACCCAGUGUGUUUCGACACACUAUCAUUAACUGAAUCCAUAGGUUAAUGAGGCGAACCGGGGGAACUGAAACAUCUAAGUACCCCGAGGAAAAGAAAUCAACCGAGAUUCCCCCAGUAGCGGCGAGCGAACGGGGAGCAGCCCAGAGCCUGAAUCAGUGUGUGUGUUAGUGGAAGCGUCUGGAAAGGCGCGCGAUACAGGGUGACAGCCCCGUACACAAAAAUGCACAUACUGUGAGCUCGAUGAGUAGGGCGGGACACGUGGUAUCCUGUCUGAAUAUGGGGGGACCAUCCUCCAAGGCUAAAUACUCCUGACUGACCGAUAGUGAACCAGUACCGUGAGGGAAAGGCGAAAAGAACCCCGGCGAGGGGAGUGAAAAAGAACCUGAAACCGUGUACGUACAAGCAGUGGGAGCACGCUUAGGCGUGUGACUGCGUACCUUUUGUAUAAUGGGUCAGCGACUUAUAUUCUGUAGCAAGGUUAACCGAAUAGGGGAGCCGAAGGGAAACCGAGUCUUAACUGGGCGUUAAGUUGCAGGGUAUAGACCCGAAACCCGGUGAUCUAGCCAUGGGCAGGUUGAAGGUUGGGUAACACUAACUGGAGGACCGAACCGACUAAUGUUGAAAAAUUAGCGGAUGACUUGUGGCUGGGGGUGAAAGGCCAAUCAAACCGGGAGAUAGCUGGUUCUCCCCGAAAGCUAUUUAGGUAGCGCCUCGUGAAUUCAUCUCCGGGGGUAGAGCACUGUUUCGGCAAGGGGGUCAUCCCGACUUACCAACCCGAUGCAAACUGCGAAUACCGGAGAAUGUUAUCACGGGAGACACACGGCGGGUGCUAACGUCCGUCGUGAAGAGGGAAACAACCCAGACCGCCAGCUAAGGUCCCAAAGUCAUGGUUAAGUGGGAAACGAUGUGGGAAGGCCCAGACAGCCAGGAUGUUGGCUUAGAAGCAGCCAUCAUUUAAAGAAAGCGUAAUAGCUCACUGGUCGAGUCGGCCUGCGCGGAAGAUGUAACGGGGCUAAACCAUGCACCGAAGCUGCGGCAGCGACGCUGAUGCGUUGUUGGGUAGGGGAGCGUUCUGUAAGCCUGCGAAGGUGUGCUGUGAGGCAUGCUGGAGGUAUCAGAAGUGCGAAUGCUGACAUAAGUAACGAUAAAGCGGGUGAAAAGCCCGCUCGCCGGAAGACCAAGGGUUCCUGUCCAACGUUAAUCGGGGCAGGGUGAGUCGACCCCUAAGGCGAGGCCGAAAGGCGUAGUCGAUGGGAAACAGGUUAAUAUUCCUGUACUUGGUGUUACUGCGAAGGGGGGACGGAGAAGGCUAUGUUGGCCGGGCGACGGUUGUCCCGGUUUAAGCGUGUAGGCUGGUUUUCCAGGCAAAUCCGGAAAAUCAAGGCUGAGGCGUGAUGACGAGGCACUACGGUGCUGAAGCAACAAAUGCCCUGCUUCCAGGAAAAGCCUCUAAGCAUCAGGUAACAUCAAAUCGUACCCCAAACCGACACAGGUGGUCAGGUAGAGAAUACCAAGGCGCUUGAGAGAACUCGGGUGAAGGAACUAGGCAAAAUGGUGCCGUAACUUCGGGAGAAGGCACGCUGAUAUGUAGGUGAAGCGACUUGCUCGUGGAGCUGAAAUCAGUCGAAGAUACCAGCUGGCUGCAACUGUUUAUUAAAAACACAGCACUGUGCAAACACGAAAGUGGACGUAUACGGUGUGACGCCUGCCCGGUGCCGGAAGGUUAAUUGAUGGGGUCAGCGCAAGCGAAGCUCUUGAUCGAAGCCCCGGUAAACGGCGGCCGUAACUAUAACGGUCCUAAGGUAGCGAAAUUCCUUGUCGGGUAAGUUCCGACCUGCACGAAUGGCGUAAUGAUGGCCAGGCUGUCUCCACCCGAGACUCAGUGAAAUUGAACUCGCUGUGAAGAUGCAGUGUACCCGCGGCAAGACGGAAAGACCCCGUGAACCUUUACUAUAGCUUGACACUGAACAUUGAGCCUUGAUGUGUAGGAUAGGUGGGAGGCUUUGAAGUGUGGACGCCAGUCUGCAUGGAGCCGACCUUGAAAUACCACCCUUUAAUGUUUGAUGUUCUAACGUUGACCCGUAAUCCGGGUUGCGGACAGUGUCUGGUGGGUAGUUUGACUGGGGCGGUCUCCUCCUAAAGAGUAACGGAGGAGCACGAAGGUUGGCUAAUCCUGGUCGGACAUCAGGAGGUUAGUGCAAUGGCAUAAGCCAGCUUGACUGCGAGCGUGACGGCGCGAGCAGGUGCGAAAGCAGGUCAUAGUGAUCCGGUGGUUCUGAAUGGAAGGGCCAUCGCUCAACGGAUAAAAGGUACUCCGGGGAUAACAGGCUGAUACCGCCCAAGAGUUCAUAUCGACGGCGGUGUUUGGCACCUCGAUGUCGGCUCAUCACAUCCUGGGGCUGAAGUAGGUCCCAAGGGUAUGGCUGUUCGCCAUUUAAAGUGGUACGCGAGCUGGGUUUAGAACGUCGUGAGACAGUUCGGUCCCUAUCUGCCGUGGGCGCUGGAGAACUGAGGGGGGCUGCUCCUAGUACGAGAGGACCGGAGUGGACGCAUCACUGGUGUUCGGGUUGUCAUGCCAAUGGCACUGCCCGGUAGCUAAAUGCGGAAGAGAUAAGUGCUGAAAGCAUCUAAGCACGAAACUUGCCCCGAGAUGAGUUCUCCCUGACUCCUUGAGAGUCCUGAAGGAACGUUGAAGACGACGACGUUGAUAGGCCGGGUGUGUAAGCGCAGCGAUGCGUUGAGCUAACCGGUACUAAUGAACCGUGAGGCUUAACCUUACAACGCCGAAG
rnacentral:rRNA from 1 species